UACGUAGGGGGCUAGCGUUGUCCGGAAUCAUUGGGCGUAAAGAGCGUGUAGGCGGUCCGGUAAGUCCGCUGUGAAAGUCGGGGGCUCAACCCUCGAAUGCCGGUGGAUACUGUCGGGCUAGAGUACGGAAGAGGCGAGUGGAAUUCCAGGUGUAGCGGUGAAAUGCGUAGAUAUCUGGAGGAACACCGGUGGCGAAGGCGGCAUCCUGGACCGGUAUUGACGCUGAGGCGCGAAAGCUAGGGGAGCAAACGGG
rnacentral:rRNA from 1 species